rnacentral:rRNA from 1 species
UACGGAGGAUGCAAGCGUUAUCCGGAUUUAUUGGGUUUAAAGGGUGCGCAGGCGGAAGAUUAAGUCAGUGGUGAAAUCCUACAGCUCAACUGUAGAACUGUCAUUGAUACUGAUUUUCUUGAAUUUAGUUGAGGUGGGCGGAAUGUGUAAUGUAGCGGUGAAAUGCUUAGAUAUUACACAGAACACCGAUUGCGAAGGCAGCUCACUAAGCUAAAAUUGACGCUGAGGCACGAAAGCGUGGGGAGCGAACAGG